rnacentral:rRNA from 1 species
AGUCGAGGGGUAUAGUUCUUCGGAACUAGAGACCGGCGCACGGGUGCGUAACGCGUAUGCAAUCUACCUUUUACAGAGGGAUAGCCCAGAGAAAUUUGGAUUAAUACCUCAUAGUAUUAUGAAAUGGCAUCAUUUUAUAAUUAAAGUCACAACGGUAAAAGAUGAGCAUGCGUCCCAUUAGCUAGUUGGUAAGGUAACGGCUUACCAAGGCUACGAUGGGUAGGGGUCCUGAGAGGGAGAUCCCCCACACUGGUACUGAGACACGGACCAGACUCCUACGGGAGGCAGCAGUGAGGAAUAUUGGACAAUGGGCGCAAGCCUGAUCCAGCCAUGCCGCGUGCAGGAUGACGGUCCUAUGGAUUGUAAACUGCUUUUAUACAGGAAGAAACCCUGGUUCGUGAACCAGCUUGACGGUACUGUAAGAAUAAGGAUCGGCUAACUCCGUGCCAGCAGCCGCGGUAAUACGGAGGAUCCAAGCGUUAUCCGGAAUCAUUGGGUUUAAAGGGUCCGUAGGCGGUUUAAUAAGUCAGUGGUGAAAGCCCAUCGCUCAACGGUGGAACGGCCAUUGAUACUGUUAAACUUGAAUUAUUAGGAAGUAACUAGAAUAUGUAGUGUAGCGGUGAAAUGCUUAGAGAUUACAUGGAAUACCAAUUGCGAAAGGCAGGUUACUACUAAUAUAUUGACGCUGAUGG